ensembl:lncRNA
CUCAAGGACAUUGUGGCCUCCCAGUCAGGACUGGACGCACACACACGCACAAAGGACAGGGACAGUUCUCUCUACACAGGCUGACAAGGAUAAAUGUGGGGGGCUGACAUCACCAGCUCUGGCCAGCAGUCAGUCAUUUUUUAUUUCGGGUGCAGUUUCUUAGAAGGAGAUGGUGUUCAUUAUAAAAGAGAGAGAGGGGAGAGUGAAGGGAGAGAAAGGCCGAUAGGAGAGAGCUGCGGAGAUAAAGAAAAUUCCCUUGGUCGUUUCCACAAACAUGGGGAAUGACACUCGCAACGCACCACUAAUCUGGAACAGCUUAUUAUGGCCUGCAGUUUACCUUGCUUGAGGUGAUGUUGUACACAGUGGCUUGAUGAGAUGGACAGUUACACUUGCAGUUCCAAUGUCAGGUUUGCUGGUAUCCUUGAUUUGUCACAAUGGACUCCAAUCCAGUUCUAGAGACACCGCAGGGACGAUCAAAGGACACAGGAUGCAUCUGAGCUCAAUUUGGAGUGUCAGGAAUAAAGGGUCUGAAUAACAAUGUAGAUGACAUAUUUCAGGUUUUCAUUUUCAGUAAAUUGGUACACAUUCCUAAUAAUAUGUUUUUUGCUUUGUCAUUAUGGGCUAUUGUGUGUAGAUUGAUGAAAAAAUAUAUAGUUCAUCAAUUAUAAAUUAAUUCUAUAACACAAUAUGUGGAGAAAGCGAAGGGGCCAGAAUAUUUUCCAAAUGCACUUUAUGUAUCAAACAGUGAUGAUCCCAACAUUUCUGAAAGGUCCUGGCCCUGAAAUUGGAUAUCUGUCAGACUAAUCUGGUCAUCAGAAAACAUCUUAACUUCAUGCUGGACCAGUCCUUGGAAAUGUUUUCUUUUCAACCAUCUCUUGCAGAAAUGGGUUUGAUCAAGUCAAAUGGACCUACCUAUCUGAAGGCCUGCCGAAUUACAAUAUUGGAGACAGAUUUAUGAAAUGGAUUAAACAUUUACUUACAUAACAGCACAAUAAUUACACAACAAAACACAAUAAUUACCAACCAAUCAUUAUUGCCUCAAUUUAACCUUCCUACAGGGAAAAGACAGGGUUGUGCAUUGUCAGCUGUUUUUGGCUUUAGCUACCGAACCAAUUGCCCAUACCAUCAGAUCACACACAGAAAUGUAGACUUAUAACACCAAG